GAUGAACGCUGGCGGCGUGCCUAAUACAUGCAAGUCGAGCGAACGGACAAGGAGCUUGCUCCUUUGAAGUUAGCGGCGGACGGGUGAGUAACACGUGGGUAACCUACCUAUGAGACUGGAAUAACUCCGGGAAACCGGGGCUAAUGCCGGAUAACAUGUUGAACCGCAUGGUUCAACAGUGAAAGACGGUCUUGCUGUCACUUAUAGAUGGACCCGCGCCGUAUUAGCUAGUUGGUGGGGUAACGGCCUACCAAGGCGACGAUACGUAGCCGACCUGAGAGGGUGAUCGGCCACACUGGAACUGAGACACGGUCCAGACUCCUACGGGAGGCAGCAGUAGGGAAUCUUCCGCAAUGGGCGAAAGCCUGACGGAGCAACGCCGCGUGAGUGAUGAAGGUCUUAGGAUCGUAAAGCUCUGUUGUUAGGGAAGAACAAAUGUGUAAGUAACUGUGCACGUCUUGACGGUACCUAACCAGAAAGCCACGGCUAACUACGUGCCAGCAGCCGCGGUAAUACGUAGGUGGCAAGCGUUAUCCGGAAUUAUUGGGCGUAAAGCGCGGCGUAGGCGGUUUUUUAAGUCUGAUGUGAAAGCCCACGGCUCAACCGUGGAGGGUCAUUGGAAACUGGAAAACUUGAGUGCAGAAGAGGAAAGUGGAAUUCCAUGUGUAGCGGUGAAAUGCGCAGAGAUAUGGAGGAACACCAGUGGCGAAGGCGGCUUUCUGGUCUGCAACUGACGCUGAUGUGCGAAAGCGUGGGGAUCAAACAGGAUUAGAUACCCUGGUAGUCCACGCCGUAAACGAUGAGUGCUAAGUGUUAGGGGGUUUCCGCCCCUUAGUGCUGCAGCUAACGCAUUAAGCACUCCGCCUGGGGAGUACGGUCGCAAGACUGAAACUCAAAGGAAUUGACGGGGACCCGCACAAGCGGUGGAGCAUGUGGUCUAAUUCGAAGCAACGCGAAGAACCUUACCAAAUCUUGACAUCCUUUGACCGCUCUAGAGAUAGAGUUUUCCUCUUCGGAGGACAAAGUGACAGGUGGUGCAUGGUUGUCGUCAGCUCGUGUCGUGAGAUGUUGGGUUAAGUCCCGCAACGAGCGCAACCCUUGAGCUUAGUUGCCAUCAUUAAGUUGGGCACUCUAAGUUGACUGCCGGUGACAAACCGGAGGAAGGUGGGGAUGACGUCAAAUCAUCAUGCCCCUUAUGAUUUGGGCUACACACGUGCUACAAUGGACAAUACAAAGGGCAGCGAAACCGCGAGGUCAAGCAAAUCCCAUAAAGUCGUUCUCAGUUCGGAUUGUAGUCUGCAACUCGACUACAUGAAGCUGGAAUCGCUAGUAAUCGUAGAUCAGCAUGCUACGGUGAAUACGUUCCCGGGUCU
rnacentral:rRNA from 1 species